UGGGGUGUGACUCAGUAGUAGAGAGCUUGCCUAGCAUGCAUGAGGCACUGGGUUCGAUCCCCAGCACCACAU
rnacentral:tRNA from 1 species